AUUGAACGCUGGCGGCAUGCUUUACACAUGCAAGUCGAACGGUAACAGGCCGCAAGGUGCUGACGAGUGGCGCACGGGUGAGUAAUGCAUCGGAACGUGCCCAGUCUUGGGGGAUAACUACUCGAAAGAGUAGCUAAUACCGCAUACGAUCUAUGGAUGAAAGCGGGGGACCGUAAGGCCUCGCGCGAUUGGAGCGGCCUCUGUCAGAUUAGGUAGUUGGUGGGGUAAAGGCUCACCAAGCCAACGAUCUGUAGCUGGUCUGAGAGGACGACCAGCCACACUGGAACUGAGACACGGCCCAGACUCCUACGGGAGGCAGCAGUGGGGAAUUUUGGACAAUGGGCGCAAGCCUGAUCCAGCAAUGCCGCGUGCAGGAAGAAGGCCUUCGGGUUGUAAACUGCUUUUGUACGGAACGAAACGGCUCUGGUUAAUACCCGGGGCUAAUGACGGUACCGUAAGAAUAAGCACCGGCUAACUACGUG
rnacentral:rRNA from 1 species